rnacentral:rRNA from 1 species
AUACGUAGGGGGCAAGCGUUAUCCGGAAUUACUGGGUGUAAAGGGAGCGCAGACGGCUAAGCAAGUCUGAUGUGAAAGUCAUGGGCUCAACCCAUGGAUUGCAUUGGAAACUGCGAAGCUGGAGUGUCGGAGGGGUAAGCGGAAUUCCUGGUGUAGCGGUGAAAUGCGUAGAUAUCAGGAGGAACACCGGUGGCGAAGGCGGCUUACUGGACGAUCACUGACGUUGAGGCUCGAAAGCGUGGGGAGCAAACAGGAUUAGAUACCCUGGUAGUCCACGCGGUAAACGAUGAAUACCAGGUGUCGGGGGGCGAAGCUCUUCGGUGCCGAAAGCAAACGCAGUAAGUAUUCCACCUGGGGAGUACGUUCGCAAGAAUGAAACUCAAAGGAAUUGACGGGG